rnacentral:rRNA from 1 species
GAAGAAGCCCCGGCUAACUUCGUGCCAGCAGCCGCGGUAAUACGAAAGGGGCUAGCGUUGUUCGGAAUUACUGGGCGUAAAGCGCACGUAGGCGGCCUUGUAAGUUGGGGGUGAAAUCCCGGAGCUCAACUCCGGAACUGCCUUCAAAACUACAAAGCUAGAGGAUGUGAGAGGAUAGUGGAAUUCCGAGUGUAGAGGUGAAAUUCGUAGAUAUUCGGAGGAACACCAGAGGCGAAGGCGGCUCACUGG